ACACUGAUGGUGAAGCGGUUAUCAUGCUUGCCUUCCACGCAGACUCUAACUUAUGUAAUCUGUAAGCAAGCGGCAGGGGUUCGACUCCCCUUCAGUGUA